UCCUACCCGAGGGGGCUGGGAUCUGCAGGGGUCUCAGGUUUUUCUUUCUCCUGAGCUUUACUUCAUUUUGGGGGCGCAUGGGGGGCAUAGAGGAUUGAAUGCAGAGAUCCUUUCCCACUGAGCUACAUUCUUCGUACUUUUUAUCAUUUAUCUCAAGACAGAGCUGAGAUGCUGAGUCUGGCCUUGAACUUGGGCCCCAGCCUCCCGAGUGGCUGGGAUUACAGAUGAGGCCCUCCUGCCUGGGUCCCCCUGAAUGUUCUAAAUGUAAGAAAGCAAAGUGUCAGAUCCAGAACCCCAUCUCCCAGACGAAAGCUGUACACAUGUAUCAAUGAAUUCCUCAAAUUCAAGUCCCCUGUCCCCAUUUCCAGGAAAAAUUGUGUGUGUGUGUGUGUGUGUGUGCGCGCAUGUGCGUUUGCAUGUGCAUGUGUGUGCAUGUGUAUUCUCCCUUUCUCUCCCAGGCCAGACACCUUGUCAGAAUGUCUUUGGGCUGAGUGUCCCCCUUGUGGACUGCAUGUCCUAGGGGUCUGUGAUAUUUUCCUGGUCCUGUUUUGGCUCUGCCUGACAUGAGCAUCCCACUCCUGGCACAUCUGAGGUCUCCUGAGCGUCUGGUAAAUCUCAGCCACCUGUGGACCUAUGAGCAGGUGCAUUUAGGGGAAGUAGUUUCUCAGGGGAGCAGGUGAUUGCCCUGCAGCUGGGAGGAGUCUCCUUAUCCAGAAGCCACUUCAGAUGUUCCCUCGUCCUGGCUCCUGUGGAUCGUGGAACAGCGAUGAGCAUUCGGCCAUUUAUGAACACACUGGUUCAAGUUCCUCUGGAAAUGCAUCCAGAGUGGUCGUUACUCUGUUAGCUUUUAAAGAACUCCAUGCUAUUUUUAAAAAUGGAUGCACUAAGCUUAUAUUCUAGCCCCAUGUGAGCGGGUCUUUCUCCAUAUCCAUGUCAUUGGAGGACUGGUUCCUUCACCUGUUUGAUAGGAGCCUUCCCCACAGCUGGGCUCAGGCUGCAGAAGGUCUCCUACUUGGCGGGGGCUGAAUUCCUGAUGCAGUUGGUUAGAACCCAGGCUGCCUGUGCUCACUGCAGGAAGGUGGUGUGAGCCUAUUCUAGAAAGAAACAGGGAGCUGUGGUUUUGACCCCUUUUGCUUCACUCCUUCUGGGGAUUGUAGCCCAGGGAAAUACUUACACACCAAUGUGAAGCCCCUCCUUUGUGAUCCAGGGAGAUUUGCACAUGCUCAGUUGCCAUUGCUCCCAAAGCUUGGUGGGUUAGGAUGGAGUCCAUGGAAUGGGGAAAAAUGUUGGGACCCUGAGUGCCUGUACGUACUCCUUCCAGAAAGAACUGCUCAGGCCUGGAGUUAUUACUGAGGUAGGGGGGAGAGGGCUCAGGCAGGGCUGCUGGGUGGACUGCAUUUGUCCUGUCUACCCUCAGGGACUAGCUAGAGAGGAGCUCAGCUGUUAGCAAUCACAGUUUGCAGAUCAUGCUGGCAAAUCCCUUCUAGGGAUAAACUGGGACCCUUGAUCUCACUCCCCUUCUGCCCUGGUCCCAAGGAUAAAGCUCAUGACCCUCCACAGCCAUAGAAAACCACCCAUUUUCUCUCAUCCUGAUACUUGUGUAUAUCCAGCUCGCUCUUCUAUGAGCACCAGACAAAUUGUGUUUCCAGCUACAAGUCAUUUAGUGUCCAAUGUGCUCCAUUUGUGACCCCAAGCAGUCUGCCUCUACUCUGGGUGACACUGGAUGGGGGUAUUCUGUCCCAAUUAUGUGGCACAUUGCUCAAGGCAGUACUAAUGCCCAAGUUUUCCCCACCUUUGCCUGCCCUUUGGAUGGUAGAGAUUUUCUGAGUGGUCCAAUGCAUAUGUCUCUCAGUCCAUGUAUAACUUUAUUUAAAAGGGAUUCAAAACAGAAGCAGGUGUUUAUUGGGUGUAUCCAUGUGUGGAGAGAAUCCAGGAGCCUCCUAUUCUGGUAUAAUUUUGAAACAUCCUCCUCCUCAAUAUGUGCUUCUUUGGAAUGCUGGAGUGUAAUCCAGUACCAUGCAUGUCCUGCACCCAAGCCCUACCAGUGCUCUGCGCCUCCAGUUCCCAC
rnacentral:lncRNA from 1 species